rnacentral:rRNA from 1 species
UACAGAGGGUGCGAGCGUUAAUCGGAAUUACUGGGCGUAAAGCGUGCGUAGACGGCUAUCUAAGUCGGGUGUGAAAGCCCCGGGCUCAACCUGGGAAUUGCAUUCGAGACUGAAUAGCUAGGGUACGGUAGAGGGAAGCGGAAUUUCCGGCGUAGCGGUGAAAUGCGUAGAUAUCGGAAGGAACAUCAGUGGCGAAAGCGGCUUCCUGGACCAGUACCGACGUUCAGGCACGAAAGCGUGGGGAGCAAACAGG